GUUGUAAUAGUGAGUCACAUCAUUGUGAUCCGACUUUACGGGGAGUUUGAGGUAUGAGCCAGGCCAUGGGAUUGCGAGCGAGAGCGAGAGCAUCACGGGAUGCAGCUGUAAAAUUCCACUACUCUCUCAAUCAGUGGAAAAUUAUUGCAGCGCGUGGCGCAUCGUGAUGCAGCUCAUCAGGGCGGCGAGCGCGGCGGCGGAGACAGUCUCAGGCAGCCAGAUCCUGAGUGGAGCAGGCACCUCUUCCCGCACCAGCUCGGGGUGUGCAAAGCGUCACGUCGAGCCCACCCCGCCAGCCACCACGAGCAAAUGCAGGAUUUUCGUGGCUGGUGCCUGUGUCUCCUAGCAACAUUGCUAGGCAGCAAGCUAUACAUCACGCACGGCGCCGGCUACUACGGUAUAGCGGGGCCGUUCCCAGCUCUUUUUCCCGGCUAUAAAAUAUUAAUUUUCUGCUCGCAAAGGGGCGGCGGCACCUGCGGGUCGAGAGGCGCUCCCUCCCGGGUGGACGCGUGCAGCUACCGUUGGCUGUCGCGGGGAUCACGAGCAGCCCCAGGCUGGGCUGAGCUCCUGGUAUGUAAAAUGUGGGUGUGAUUUCUGAGAUAUAAACACUUUCCGUGCCUGAGGUGGGGUACAGGUUGGCUUUGGCAUGAAUAAAUACAUAAAUAACCAGGCGGUUCAGAUUAUCCCCCCCCUCCCCUCUUUCCUUCUUUGACUCAUAUGAGCAGAUCCUGAUGCGAGGACCACAUGUCUGUGUACACAAAGAGAGGGAAAUUUCCUUGACAUUUGGAGAUUUUGAUUUUAUUUCUUUUUAGGCUCCUCCACACCAGGGCACCGUGGAUGAGAGCCCAUAUCACAAACGCCAGUGAUGAUUUUCUAGAUUGAUGGGUGUGAUUUCAGCAGAGACUGUCUGCCAAGCCCCCUCCCCGAAAUGAUUGCAUAAUCCAGCUGUUGCAUGCGCAAAGAAAAAAAAAAGAAAAAAAAAAAAAGGAGAGAGGGAGAGAAAAAAACAGUCCUAUUCUAUAAGAAGUGGAGUCGUUAUUACAGAAGGUAAACAACAGAGCCUGAUCUCCAGAGCUGCAGAGAAGACGUAUCUGCAGCUCAUUUCAGGUGUGCAGACCCAGAAUAGGAGCUGCCUUGCUCGAGGGCAAAAGGAGCCUCUUGCAAAGGGUCUACCCAGGACAGGGUUUCAAUAAAUCUCUGGAUCUAAAACGUUAAUUUUUUGGACAUAUUGUUACUCACAGUGUUACCAGGUGGCAAGAAGGGAGGGAUGCAAAAGAGCUGGUAAAAGGCAGCAGAUCGGUUCUGGCGUCUGAACGCUGUGUUUUUCUUCUGCACGUCAGAGGACAGACUUACUGUUUAAGCCAAAGCAAAGAGGGAAGCAAGAGGGGAAAACCACACUGUCAAAAUACACAACGGUCUGCGAGAUGAACAGCUGCAUCGCCCCUCAUCUACGCUUGCAGAUAUGGCAGCACUGAUGGAGUCAGCAAAACUGCGUUUUGUCCUACAAUUCUUAUUUAAGGGAGCCAAAAUUUAGUUUUGGCUUACCCCAUUCUGCUGCGGGCAUAUCUUACUGCAUUUUGGGGUACAUGGUGGAACCAGAGAAAUCAGACUUCCCUACAACAGGGUGGUAUGUCUUCGCACUACAAAUUUCUGAGGGGUACAGCGACUGCAGUUUGAUACUGAAAGCAAUCUCACAGUGUUCAGCGACAUUUGUCCAUCAACAGAACAAAGAAAACAGCACAACUUCCAUUUCAUGUUUUUCACAAAAUCACAGCAGACUGAAGUGAAUUCAUUGUCCAAGGCUCAGGCUCCUUGGUCUUUGUACAUAAGGCCAAUUUAAUCCCAGGAGAAGAUGCUCAGAAUUUGCACUGAGAGUAGUAUCUGAACGUAGCACUUUGAAGUGAUAACUACUACUACAGACGAGUAAAACAUCCCAAGUGAAAUACCGUCCCUUGCAUACCCAUGCUUCAGGCACAUCUAUAAGCCUGUCCUGGUUUUGCAGCCAUUUUUGCUGAUGAUAUAUAAAAAAAAGGAAUUUUUAUCAUCUGUGCUUUUCUAACUUGAAGGACUUUAAUUGGAAUGAUUGCCCAGUUUUAUUUAUUAAUUUAUUUUGGCAAGACAUUUCUUCCAUAAAAUGCUUUGACAAAUAUUGACAGCAGCCACAGUAAAAUUUAAGGUGUAUGAAAAAUCUGCAGAAUUUCACCCUCCGUUUGCAAAUCUUUCUGUCACUACACAAAGCUUCUCAGCUUGAGUGCUUGACAGCUGACGGAGCUAUUAUAUUUUGGUGAACGAGGACCAAGUGAAAAACUACGAGGCCCAUAACUGUGUGCAUUCACCGAUGCCUCAAGGAAAUGAACGGCUCAAGGCUUCCCCUUGUUAUUCAAGCACAGAUGUGAAUUGUUCAGACAGAUGCCAGUGACUGGCAGAGGAACGCCAGACCCAGCACAGGUCUAGGACAGCGAGCGUGCCAUGCCUGGUGCCUGCCAACGCCAGCGACUUCAGCAGCAGAAAGGUGCUUUGCUGGGAGCUUUAAUGUCAUUUACGCACGCUGCAAGACCUCUGCGGAGUCUUAAUUCAAAUUUGACAAUCUGUCUCAGUCCUUCCUGAGGGCUGAGAGUUAUCACAGCAAAAGUUAAAAGAUAAAUUACAUCUUACCACGAAACAGUGCCAAGUACAACACAUGCAAGUAUCUAAGUCUGUGCAGAAAGCAGAAGGGUGUUAUGCUGGGCAGGGGUAAAAAAAGAAGCAAGCUAAUCUCUAAUGACAUUGGAAAAGAAAAUAGCUGAAGGACUUUUUCUAUCUGUGAGUUUCAUGGUAAAUACCACUCGGUAUUUUGGUAUCGUUAACAUCUUAUUAUUAUGACUACUAUUAAGCAGCAGCCCUACCUACUUUUGCCCGUGUUUUCUGGGCAUGUCUCCGUGUUUUACAAGUUAGAGGUUGUGCUAACAGCUGGAAAUAUUGUAUCAUCAUUUCAUUACCACCUGGCUUGAAGAGAGGAUCAUCCAGUAAUUGGGUUUUGUAGGCAUCUGCUGAGAUAAAGUAAGGGAGGAGGCUGCUACGCACUCUGCUAUAGUCACUGUGAAACUACAUUUAUUUUGUUAAAAAAGCAACACUUCUUUUCUACUUCCUUAAAUUGAUCAUCACAGCCUUCUUUCUUCUUUCUUUUUUUUUUUUUUUUUUUUUUUUUUUUUUUUUUUAAAUCUCUCUUAUUGAUUUGCAAGAAAUAGAGUUGGUUGGCUUGUUUCAUGCCACAAGAAAUAUCACGGUCUUCUUUCUCCCCAGAUGACUCAGGGUCAAUGUAAUCUGUAAAAACAACUCUAACAAAACAAAUUUUUUGCAGAUAAACCCACAAGAACUAAACCCAGUGCAGGUCUCUUCCAAAAACCAUUUGCAUAUUUUCCUUUCCUUUACAUCUAUCUUUACUUGCAUGUGUAUAUAUAAAAGAAACAACAUAAAAUUAUGUUCGGAAGUGGAGGAGUUUCAUCCACAUAAAGAUGUGGAUGAAAAUGUGGUAUGUCAGAGAGGUUACAUGUCACCUACUUUGCCUGGAAGAACUCCUGCGAUGAAUAUAAUUGGGAGAAAAAGUGAAAAACACCGGUGUUUUUCAACAACAAUGACAACAAAAAACAACGAUGGUGUUCUUAGCUGAAAGACAAUCUGAUCUUGAAAUAAAAGGGUGUAAUAAUAUGCACUAAAGGGCUAGUUAAAAUACUUAAACCUAUUUGGACCACAAUGAUCACUUCAUCAGACUUCCUGCAAAAUUCAGGCUGUUGAUCCUUAGUCUACAAUUUGUACCUCCACCAUCAAACUACUGCUUGAACUACAAGUGACUGCUGAGACGGUUUUCAUUUGUUGUUUGUUUUAAAUUAUGUUACUUGCAUUUUGCCUUGCACUGUUGAUUUAGUGUUGCAGAGCAGCCCCCCCAGGUUUGCUUACAGUGACGUGCACAAAGGCUUUGUUUGCAAAGUUGUAUGUUAAAUACUGCUGAAGAAGUCUCAUAUUUUUGCUUGUUUUUAUGUAUGUCUUCUUUUAUUUAUCCAUAUUUUAUAUUAAAUAUUUAUGUUCAUAUUUCAGAUUGCAGUGAAUUGAAGAAUGAAGAAAAACUCGUGUUUUGUUUGUUUGUUUAUUUGUUUGAAGAAAUAACCUUCCUAAGCAGACAAGAAAAUAGACGCUGAGGAUUUUUGUGGAUGUAGACAUAUUAAGAGGUUUUUCCUUUUUUGAGUGAGGGGAAAAUUGAAAUAAAAAUAGUAUAACUCC